CAUGCAAGUCGAACGGCAGCAUGAUCUAGCUUGCUAGAUUGAUGGCGAGUGGCGAACGGGUGAGUAAUACAUCGGAACGUGCCCUGUAGUGGGGGAUAACUAGUCGAAAGAUUAGCUAAUACCGCAUACGACCUGAGGGUGAAAGUGGGGGACCGCAAGGCCUCAUGCUAUAGGAGCGGCCGAUGUCUGAUUAGCUAGUUGGUGAGGUAAAGGCUCACCAAGGCGACGAUCAGUAGCUGGUCUGAGAGGACGAUCAGCCACACUGGGACUGAGACACGGCCCAGACUCCUACGGGAGGCAGCAGUGGGGAAUUUUGGACAAUGGGGGCAACCCUGAUCCAGCAAUGCCGCGUGUGUGAAGAAGGCCUUCGGGUUGUAAAGCACUUUUGUCCGGAAAGAAAUCGCACUUACUAAUAUUAGGUGUGGAUGACGGUACCGGAAGAAUAAGGACCGGCUAACUACGUGCCAGCAGCCGCGGUAAUACGUAGGGUCCAAGCGUUAAUCGGAAUUACUGGGCGUAAAGCGUGCGCAGGCGGUUGUGCAAGACCGAUGUGAAAUCCCCGGGCUUAACCUGGGAAUUGCAUUGGUGACUGCACGGCUAGAGUGUGUCAGAGGGGGGUAGAAUUCCACGUGUAGCAGUGAAAUGCGUAGAGAUGUGGAGGAUUACCGAUGGCGAAGCAGCCCCCUGGGAUAACACUGACGCUCAUGCACGAAAGCGUGGGGAGCAANCAGGAUUAGAUACCCUGGUAGUCCACGCCCUAAACGAUGUCAACUAGUUGUUGGGGAUUCAUUUCGUUAGUAACGUAGCUAACGCGUGAAGUUGACCGCCUGGGGAGUACGGUCGCAAGAUUAAAACUCAAAGGAAUUGACGGGGACCCGCACAAGCGGUGGAUGAUGUGGAUUAAUUCGAUGCAACGCGAAAAACCUUACCUACCCUUGACAUGCCACUAACGAAGCAGAGAUGCAUUAGGUGCUCGAAAGAGAAAGUGGACACAGGUGCUGCAUGGCUGUCGUCAGCUCGUGUCGUGAGAUGUUGGGUUAAGUCCCGCAACGAGCGCAACCCUUGUCUCUAGUUGCUACGAGAGGGCACUCUAGAGAGACUGCCGGUGACAAACCGGAGGAAGGUGGGGAUGACGUCAAGUCCUCAUGGCCCUUAUGGGUAGGGCUUCACACGUCAUACAAUGGUGCAUACAGAGGGUUGCCAAGCCGCGAGGUGGAGCUAAUCCCAGAAAAUGCAUCGUAGUCCGGAUCGUAGUCUGCAACUCGACUACGUGAAGCUGGAAUCGCUAGUAAUCGCGGAUCAACAUGCCGCGGUGAAUACGUUCCCGGGUCUUGUACACACCGCCCGUCACACCAUGGGAGUGGGUUUUGCCAGAAGUAGUUAGCCUAACCGCAAGGGGGGCGAUUACCACGGCAGGGUUCAUGACUGGGGUGAAGUCGUAACAAGGU
rnacentral:rRNA from 1 species